rnacentral:rRNA from 1 species
GACGAAGGUGGCGAGCGUUGUUCGGAAUCACUGGGCAUAAAGCGCACGUAGGCGGUGCCGUAAGUCGGGUGUGAAAUCCCUCGGCCUAACCGAGGAACUGCGCCCGAUACUGCGGUGCUUGAGGACCAGAGGGGUGCAUGGAAUUUCCGGUGGAGCGGUGAAAUGCGUUGAUAUCGAUAGGAACUCCGGUGGCGAAGGCGGUAUACUGGACCACUUCUGACGCUGAGGCGCGAAAGCCAGGGGAGCAAACGGG